rnacentral:rRNA from 1 species
CCCCUAGGUGUUCUGGGCCGCACGCGCGCUACACUGAACAGUUCAACAAGUCUUAACCUUGGCCGAUAGGUCUGGGUAAUCUUUGAACGCUGUUCGUGAUUGGGAUAGACCUUUGCAAUUAUGGGUCUUCAACGAGGAAUUCCUAGUAAACGCAAGUCAUCAGCUUGCAUUGAUUACGUCCCUGCCCUUUGUACACACCGCCCGUCGCACCUACCGAUUGAAUGGUCCGGUGAAAUCUCGGGACGGCGGCUUGGUCGCUUGCGUCCGACUGCUGAAACUUGAUUAAACCAUAUCAUUUAGAGGAAGGUGAANUCGUANCA